UACUUAGGGCGCAAGCGUUGUCCGGAAUUAUUGGGCGUAAAGAGCUCGUAGGCGGCUUGUCACGUCGGGUGUGAAAGCCCGGGGCUUAACCCCGGGUCUGCAUUCGAUACGGGCAGGCUAGAGUGUGGUAGGGGAGAUCGGAAUUCCUGGUGUAGCGGUGAAAUGCGCAGAUAUCAGGAGGAACACCGGUGGCGAAGGCGGAUCUCUGGGCCAUUACUGACGCUGAGGAGCGAAAGCGUGGGGAGCGAACAGG
rnacentral:rRNA from 1 species